GGUGUGACGUCAUCGGCGCGCGAAAGCGCCGCCCAGAGCGCGUCGCGCCUCUGACUGGGUCAGAGGCUUCUGAGGAGCGGGAAGGGACGUUGAGAGCAUUGUGACACUGUCACGCAGUCAUGAUGUCACUGGGGUGAAGCAUUCCAGUCUGUGACCUGAUGACACUCGGGGUGCCAGAGGAGGUCCAGUCUCCACAAGCCAGUCUGCCUUUGGAGUGCUGGGGUUGUCCGUGUGUGCACUGCAUUCAGGGUCAGUCUGGAUCAAACUUCUCACUUAUCCCCGAGGCUGGAGCCUCUGGAGUCUCUCAGGGGUCCUCAGGGAACUCUUCAGUAAGUGCUCUCCCAUUCUGGGUCUGCUGCUGCCGGUGAUGUGAAUCCUCCUGCAUUGGUGACUGGUCACUGUCCCCCUAUUUUAUUGUUAUGUAUACUUAUGCUUUUCUAAUUAUUUUUUGUUUAAGAUAGAAUUUCUCUAUAUAUCCCUGGCUGUCUUGAAAUUCACUCCAUACAGCAUACUGGCCUUGAGUUCACAGAGUUUUGCCUGCCUCUGCCUCCCAGUGCUGAUAUGAAAGGCAUCUCCUGCCUCCUAAUUUAUUUUUAUUUUGCUUUCUUGAGACAGGAUCUCAGGUAAUUCAGACUGGCCUUAUUUUUUUUUUUUUCUAUUCUUUUUUUCGGAGCUGGGGACCGAACCCAGGGCCUUGCGCUUGCUAGGGCGCUCUACCACUGAGCCAAAUCCCCAACCCCCCUUAUUUUUGCUAUAAAGCAAAAGCCAGCUUUGAAAUCCUGAUCCCCCUGCCUCCACCUUACAAGUGCUGGGGUUACAGAUGCAUGCCAUCUGUCUUGUCGUGGUGGUUGGCUUGGUACUAGCUGUGGUCUCCAGACAGCCUCAAAGUCAUAGCAAUUCUCUUGCCUCAAGUUGCAGAUGUGUAUGCACCUACACUUGGCUCUUGGCUAUUCAUUCUCAUUCUCUCUCUCUCUCUUUCUCUCUCUCUCUCUCCCUCUCUCCCUACCUCCCUCCCCCCUCCUCCCUCUCCCUCUGCCUCUGCCUCUCCCUUUUCCCCCCUCCCCCUCCACCUCUCUCUCUUCUCUCCGUGUCUCUGUGUGUGUUACUGAGAACCAAACCCAAUGUUAACAAGUGCUAUACCUCUGAGCUGCAGUUCCAGGCCCCAUGGUGUGUGAGUGUGAGUGUUUCUUUCUAUCUUUCUGUUGAGAUGGGAUCUCCCUCUGCAGCCUUGGCCAGUCUAGAACUGCUAUGUAGACCAGGCGGCCCUGGAACUCACUGCUUCCCGAGUCCUGGGAUAGAGUGCCACCACACUCAGCCUUUCCUUCUGUCUUUCAAAUCUCUGGAAGACACUGUCACUCUCAGCCCUUUGUCAAGGUUCUCUACAGUGUACCCUAGCUGUGUGAAGGGCACUAUGCCUUCUACAAGGCUUAUACGGCAGCUGAGUGGGUGGAAUGGCAGUAACUUAUGGACAGCCCCCCACCCCACAGAGGCCAUUCGUUCUCCUGAUGUCUCCAGCAGAGAUGUCCGUCCUGUAACCUGAGUGAUCACACACAGAAACUGGCUGAAGCAGUUGAGCAGGAGCCGGAAGUGGCUCUAGACAGAGGGAGAGGCUGGGCACAGGCCUGGAGGGAGAGCACAUUGAGGGACAAGGAAGGCAGUGUGCCUGAGGGCAGUGACUAAUAGGGAAGUGGCAGCAGAUGAGGCCACAGAGGGCCCGCUGUGCCAGAGCUUGUGAGGCCCAGGAGGUCAGCUAAGCCAAGCUUGGAGAUGCAGAGGGUGUGGGCCAGGACCGGGAGGACCUGAUUUUCAGCCCCGAGAAUCUCAUGACUCACCUACUGGUCAUAGUGUGGGCAGUGCACAGAGACUUUCUUCCAAGAGUGCAGUAUGAGAAGGGGAGAAGCGUAACUUCACAGACUGACUAUGUAGUUGAGGUGACUUUGAAUUUACGGUCCUCCUUCAUCCAGUGGCAUCUGUAUAAGGACCUUUGAUAAGUCAGGACAGCUCUGCCUUCUAAAACCUGCCUUCCCAGAGAAAACCAGGGACAUAUCGCAGGAAAGGGCCCUUCCCAAAGCCCUGAUGGGUACACCUCAAACCUCGAGACCACAAGGAAGAUUGCCAGGAGUUCAAGGCCAGCCAGGACUAGAAUGAGACCAUGUCUCAGUUCAAACAAACAAGCAAGUAUUCAGGAGGUAGCUCAGGUGGUAAAAUGCUUGCCUAGUAUGCACGAAGUCCUGGGUUAGAUCUCAGAACUAUAUAAAACCAGGCAUGGUUGUGCAUGCCAUGCCUGUAAUCUUAGCAUUUAGUGGGUGGAGACAGGAGGGUCAAGAGUUCAAGGUCAUCCCUAGUUACACAGUGAGUUCAAGCCAGACCUGGGCUACAUUAGACCUGCCUACCCUGCACCUCCCCCCCUAAAAAAAGUCCAAGAAGUAGCAAAAAGGAGUGUAAGGAGAUAUGUGAACUAAAUGUAGUAUGCUUCCCUGGUACUAAGACAACAGACAAAAAUGGAGAAACUGAGAAAAUCCAAACAAACUCUAGCCUUUACUUGAUGUCUCCUUAAUUGUGACAAAUGUGCCUUGUAAGACGUGAACAAAGUAAACUGCUUGUAAGACCUGAAGAAUGGAGGCUGGGAGGUGGCUCAGUGUGGAAAAUGCCUGCUGUACAUCUAUGAGGACCUAAGUUCUAAUCCCAGCACCCAUGAAAAAGCUGGGGCAACAUAGAUCUGUAACCUUGGUGAUCAGGGUCUCACUGGCCAGCCCAGCCCAAACAUGGAGCUCCAGGUUCAGCUGGAGGACCUGUCUCAAAACGUAAGUGACAGAGGGAGACAUCCAAUGUCAUCUCUCGUCUCCAAAUGCACAUAGAUAUGGAUACCUGCCCAAAGUCAAGCAUACAUGCACACACACACACAUAGAAACAUGCACAUGUAUGCACACACACGGACACACACACACAGACACACACACACACACACACACACACUAAAAAAGUUGUGAAGAAUAGGAAAGUGAAAAGUACAGCUGGGAGAUGGGAUGCUGGUCCAUCCCAGAGCUAUAAAGGGGAAAGAGAGAGAGGAAGAGGGAAACAGGGCACGGGUGGAUAUGUCCUUCCUGAACCAGCUUUUCCACCUCUUUCAUAAAUCUAAGACUGCUGUGAGAAGUAAGGUCUAGAGGUUGAGAAGAUAGUACAGUUGGUGAAGUUGACUGUGCAGAUGUUAGAACCUGAGCUCAGGUCCCCAGAGCGCUUAUAAGAACCAGAUGUGCCUGGCUUUUUUACUAAAACCCCAGCUCUGGGGAGGAGGAAACAGGAGGAUCUUGGGGCUUGCUGACCCACUCUACAGGAGUUGGUAAUCCCCAUGCCCAGUGAGAGACACUGCCUCAGAGGAGAAGGUGGAGCACAAGUGAGAAGGCCUAUUUGACUUCAGUCCACACAUUCCACUGUGGAAAGAGAACUGAUGCCACACAGCUGUCCCCUGGCCUGCGCAGGCUCACGCACGCACACACGCAUGUUAAAAAAAAAGGGGGAGGGAAGUUGAGGGAGACUCCCUGAGUUAAUCUCUGGCUUAUAUUAUGCAUGUACACCCACAUAUACAUGUGUACACACAGCAUACAAGCAGGGACAUAUAUAACACACAUAUAUACAACAAAUAAAUAAUUAACUCUCAGGUGAAAAGAAAAUCUGAGCAUCUGCUUGUGCAGAGCAGGGCCCAAGGGGGAGACGGCUGAUCCUCAGGGGAGAUAGUAAUUCAGAUCUAGGUGGAAGAGCGGCCAUGAGGAAACAGGAUCCUCUCAAGAAGCAGGAAUGAUUGACAGUCAGCUCCUGCCUGGAGAUGAAUUCUGGGGCCUGAAGAAAGGGAGGAGUCCGAUCAGACGCCUAGAUUAUUUUCGGCUUGAGCAACUGCCACACGACUGUUACCUCAGAUGCACUUGUGUGGGAGGAAAACAGGUUUAAGGACAAAAACCUCAAGAGGCUUCCUUUGCCUACAGUGAGUGUGAGGAGGUGUGGAAACACCCAGGAGUGAGCCAGGAGGAAAGGGAAGGGUUGAUUCUCAUAGAGGGUAGUAUGUAGACACCUGCUAUGAGUAAGCAGGACCCCUCUGAAAGAGGCCCAGCUAGUAUGCUAAGAGAGCAAGCAGCAUGCUAGGGGAGCAAUAAAGGCUAACUGAUAUGGAGAGAUCUGGGAAGAUAACGCAGCCUGGAGGACAUGGGUGCCAGAACGUGCUUUCUGGGUGUGCCCAGAUCAGCCACCUUCCUGUUCUGCAAAGACACAAGAAGCCAGGCUCCUGCCUAGAGAAAACUCCCUUUUUCUAGGCCUUGUCUAGAAAAAUCCAGAUAACUGAGGGUCAGAGGUCAGGGAACCCAAGCAGGCCUUGUUAGCAAAGCCCCAAGUUGCUUGCCUAACACAGUCUCUCAUCACUUUGAGGUGUGUCUGCUACUGACCUGUUGCCAGAAUCUGUCUGCCAUGUAUCUGUAGGCGACUGCUGCUGCCCAGGGUUCUGGCUGCCUUGACACUUUCUGCACAUAAUUCUCUGAAAUGUUUCAAAAGUUCCUACUCAUAAGGUUCCCUCAGUUAUAAAAAAAAAACAGCAGGACUUCCUGAGGGCUCACUGCAGACACGCGUCCCAGGCCACAGUUCCUCAUAGACAAAGGAAGGUAAGCCAAGUCCAGCCCAGCAAGAAGAUGAGGCCUCUCUCAGCCCCUGUCCACCACAUUCACCACACUCAGCCAGAAUGUGUGAUUGUGUCAUUCCCUGACCAAAACCCUCCAAUGUCCUGUCUUCCUACAUUAAAAGCCACCUCCAGGUAGCCCACUGGUCCCUGCCUAACCACCUUCCUGUCCUUUCUACCUCACAUCCUCCACCUCUGUCCACUGCCCACUGCCUGCCCCACAGAUGUCCCAGCUUCUUCCUGACUCAUGACCUUUGACCUCACUGUUCCUGAGCAAGAUAGGCAUCUCCCCACACGUCUUUUCUUCCUGUCUUCCUUCCUUCCCUCUUUCUGUCUGUCUGUCUUAUUUCUUUCUUUUUUGAGACAGUCACAGCAUGCAUGUAGCCCUGAGUGGUUCAGAACUGUGUCAUUAUGUAGACUUAAUGCCGGCCCUUGACCUCCAUCAGUCCUCCUACCCCUGCUUUCUGAGUACUGGAAUGACAGGUAUAUGCCACUAAGGGCAUUUCAUCUUUUUCUUUGUUUAAAAACUUUUCCUUUCAAUGAGAUGAAAAUCUCAUAAUAUUUUAAAGCUUGAAAAUCCUCAGUGUUGAGAUCACAUGCCUACAGCUGCGGGUCUCAAGGUUGAAAACACCAACCCUUAACUCCCCUGUGUGUGUGUGCAGUAUGAGCAUGCUCAGUGCUUCUGGGUUCUUCACUCUGUCUCUCUCCCUGUCUGUGACAGCCACUAUUUUGCUUUCUGCCUCUAUGGCUUUGAAUAGAAUAAAGAUCAUACAUGAAGCUGGGUGUAGUGACUCACACCUGAAAUUUCAGUGCUUGGAAGGCCAGCCUGGUCUGCAUGAGACCCUAUCUCAAAACAGAACAAAACUGGCCCAAACGGGUGGUGGUACACAUCUUUAAUCAGCACUCUGGAGGCAGAGGCAGGAGGAGCUCUAUGAAUUUGAGACCAAUCUGUUUUACAGAGUGAGUUCAAGGACAGCCUGGGCUACACAGAAAAACCCUGUCUCGAAAAACCAAAACAAAAAUUGCCUAGUACGUUCAAGGCCCUGGGCAAGUGUGGAGGAGGGGUUGGGGAGUGUGGAAAAGGUGUUCCAGGACACAUGACUUCCUGUGCCUAGUGCAUUACUCCCUUGCCUAGUUGAGAAGCCCUCCAUGCUCUGGUGUGAACUGUUUUCCACUGCACACACAGAGCACAGUCUGUGAGAUCCAUCCCACCUUGUAGCUCUUACGACAGACAGUAGGAAUGCUGUCUCGGCAGAUGUUUCCAUUUCUUUUAGAUAAAUGUCUAGGACUGAACUUGUUGGGUCACAUGGACACCGAGCUGUACCCCCAGCUGUUACACUCCACUUUUCUAGGAGUUUCUAAACUGUCAUCCAGGUCUGAAGUCAUGUGUCACCUCCUCCGACAGCUCAGCUCAGUAGUGACUCUCUUCUGGACACCUUGGGUCUUGGCUCUUCUGUCGCCCUUCGGAUCUCAUUACCUCAGACUGGAGAUGCUCCUGACCCGCCCCGUGUUUGGUAUGCAGUAGGUGCUCAGCAAAUGCUUGCUGAGUGACAAGCCUCAGUCUCUCAGGAAAGGUGCUGAGAUGGCAUGAGGAUGGCCAUCCUCCUCCUCUGAGGUGGCUCUUAGGACUGCCCAGGUGACUCAGCAGUUUAAAUGCCUAGCUUCCUCCUGUCUUACCAACCAAAGCCACCGGGAGCCCGAGCCCGGGGUGGGUGGUGUUCCUCCCGUGCUUCCUGCUUAGUGACUCAGGGCAGUUAUCUCCAGUUCCUCAGUGUGGGGCAGCUGACCCAGUGACAUGUGUGCAUUGUUUGAUAUCUUAUCAUCAUUAAUGAUCUGUGCUGCUAGGGAGGGUGGGACCAGUUGUAAGUUGAUGCUCCACCGCUGUACUCACUGGGCCGUCUUGCCCCCAGCCUGGAGUUCUUAACCAGCAGUUACACUGAACCCAGGUCUCCGUAGAGAACCGAUUUCCACCUACAACCUUCUCGGCCUUUGUCCCCUUUUAAAGCGUGAAGGGCAUUUGCAGCCCAGCUAAGAUAUGAGCUUAAUCCCUUGGACCCAAGUGGUGGAAGGAGGCAGAGAACCAAUUCCUGGACAUUGACCUCUGACUGUCUCAAUGCACAUUGUGGCAUGCACUCUUCUACCCACACCCCACAAAAUAUAAAACGAGUAAAAUGUAAUUAAGAAUUCCAGCCUGGGGGUUGGGAAUUUAGCCCAGUGGUACAGCGCUUGCCUAGGAAGCGCAAGGCCCUGGGUUCGGUCCCCAGCUCCAAAAAAAAAAAAAAAAAAAAAAAAAAAGAACCAAAAAAAAAAAAAAAAAGAAUUCCAGCCUGCAGCUGGGCAGUGGUAUGGAGAAUGAGCCCAGCACUGUGGAAGGAAAGGCUGGAUGACGGCUCCACAUGUUCAAGGCCAGCCAGGUUUAUGUAGCACUUUCCAAGCCAGCCAGAUCCUGCCUAAAACAAAACCAUUUCUAGUUUGAGGAGUCCAAUUACUCAGGCUGUCUGGGCUCAGUUCCCAGUUUUCUUUUAUUGUUAUUUUUGUUUGUUUUAUUAUUUGCUUUUUUGAGAUAGGGUCUCAUGUAGCCCAGGCUAGCCUAAAACUUUCUCUAUACCUGAGAAUGACCUUGAACUUCAGAUCCCCCUUCUUCAACUUUCCAAUAUCAGGUGUAUACACACCAUCUGGACUGGGUGCUGGAUGUUUUCUGCUGUGCUGGGAUUAAACCCAGGACUUCAUGUGUGCAAGUCGAGGAGUCUCCCACUGGCAUAUGCUCCCCAGCCCCUCAGUUCCCAGGUCUGUCACAGUCUUUUAAAUCCCACUGCUCUCUUGGAACAGGAAGGUUAAUAGUAAGGGCCUCGUGGAUUUGUGAGGUUAAAGGAAUUGGUACAAUGUACUCACACCUAGCCCGUGGUCAGUGAAAACUCUUUAGAUCCUGCCGCUCCACUGUCUGGGAAUGACCUCUGAAGCCUGGACCUUCAGACCAGAGGAGAAAGAAGGAAGAAGUGUUUUUAAAAGUUCAAAGAAGCGGGCUGGAGAGAUGGCUCAGAAGUUAGGAGCAUGGCUGCCCUUGCUGGGGACUCCGUUCUCAGCACCCACGUAGUGGCUAAGAAAUGUUUCUAACUCCAGCUCCAGGGGAUCUGAUGCCUCCAAAAGCAGCAGCCACACAUGGAGUGCACAGGGAUAUACAUACGUAGGCAAAACACCCGUACACAUAAAACUAAAGGAGCUAUUAAAAACUCAGAGAGCAGUGUGAGCAUGCUCAGUGCUUCUGGGCUGUAUUGUUUAAGAUGGCUAAAUGGCCAAUUUUAUGACUGUUUCUUUAAAAGAAAAACAGCAAAACUAGUGUGGUGAUACACAUGUUGGGUGUAGUCCCAAUGCUUGAAAGGUUCAGAGAGGAGGAUCACUGUGAGUUUGAGGCUAACCUGGGCUACAGAGUAAAACCUUAAAAUACAAAAACAAGGUAAAUACUCACCAACCUCUCUCUUAGGCCUUCAGGAAAGAAAAAGGAGUAUACAAGUGUGUGCACGCAUGCAAGGGUGUGAGCAUGCAUGUUAAGGUCAGAGGUCAGACAACCCUGGGUGUCCUUCCUCAGGCACUGCUCACCUUUAACAUUUUGAUUACAUGUAUGCAUUUAUGUAGUGGGGGGGGGCAGACAGUGUGACAAGACACUCUGUGGAGGUUACGAGCUGGCAGUAACUUCACUCAGAGCAUGUGGGUGACAACAUGUUGGAUCUCCCACCUUUAUGUGGGUUCCAGGUACACCAGUCAGGCCAACAGGCUUUCUAUCCACAGAGCCGGUCACAGGCCAGUUAGGGAUUCAUUUUUUUUUAAAUAUUUUUUCAUUUGCCUGUGUGUGUGUGUGUGUGUGUGUGUGUGUGUGUGUGUGUGUGUGUGUCUGUGUGUGUCUGUGUCUGUGUGUGAGUGUGUGUGCACGCGUGUGCGCACGUGCAUACAUACAGGUCAGAGGACAACUUUGUAACAUUAAUUCUCUCUUUGCACCUUUUUGUGGGGUGUGUUUGGGGGUAUUGAACUUGGGUCUCUAGGCUUAGGGGGCAAACCGCCUUUACCCACUGAGUUACUUCUCUGGCUUCAUGCCCUAAUGUUUUUUCCCUCCAAGCAUGGCAGCUCUGGCUGUUCUGGAACUUACUCUGUAGACCAGGCUGGUCAAACUCAGAGAUCAUUCUGUCUCUGCCUCCCAAGUGAGUGCUGGGAUUAGAGGUGUGCGCCCCACGUGUCUAAGGCCAGCUUUUUAUGUGGGUCUUAGGGUCUAGUUCCGAUCUCCAUGCUUACAAGGCCAGCAGUUUGCCAAUUGAGCCAACUCCCCAAUUCAGUAAUAUUUUUUUAGCUGACUUCUUUCCUUUUUUUCUUUUAUUGGAUAUUUCUUCAUUUACAUUUCAAAUGUUAUCCCCUUUCCUGGUUUCCCCACCUAAAGCCCUCCAUCCCAUCUCCCCACCCCCUGCCUCCAUGAGGAUGUUCCCUUACCCACCCAACUCAGUAAUUUUUAUAUUUAAAACGACAGUGUUCUACCUGAGGCCAAUAACAAAUGACCUCAGCGUCAGUGGCUAUCUCCCUGCUAGGGAAAGUCCCAUCUCUAGAUGAAAUAUUUUUGUUUUUUGAGACAGUCUCACUAGCCCAGGCUAACCUACAUCUGCUUUUUAUAUUGCUCAGGCUGGCCUCCCAUUCAUGAGAACCCUCUAAGUGCUGGGAUUGUAGGUGUGACCCACUUGGAAUGUUCUAGAAAUUCAGGUCCAUUUUUCAGACUUCGGAGCAGUGUUUCUCAACCUGUAGGUCAAGACCCCCUUCGGGAUUGACUGACCCUUUCAUAUGGGCUCACAUAUCAGAUAUCCUACAUAUCAGAUCUCUAUAUUAUGAUUCAAAACAGUAACAAAAUUAUAGUUAUAAAAUAGCAGUGAAAAUAAUUUUAUGGUUGGGGUCACCACAACAUGAAUUAAAGGUUCGCAGGCUGAGAACCAGUGCUCUUGAGGACUAGGACUUCCCAUGGUGAUGACAUGGUGGACUCAGGCUUCCCUAUGGGGCAGCCCUGCUCCUGUGGGGCUCAGUGACUCUGUUCAGUCAGCAGAGCCAGUGGAACUGGUUUCCAUUCCUCCCAGGAAGUCUUCCCAGAACAAAUCAUGCAGGCGGGGUUGGUGUAGGUUCUCAGCUUUCUAUCGCCCGUGUCCAAGGAUCAUUUGGAUAUUCAAAACCAUUCACAGAACACUGCAGCAGACAUGUGUGUCAGUGCUCAGGACAGCUGCUGAGUUGGUUUCUUCAAGGUCUGACUGUGUAACCCGGGAUCUCCUACCUCUGCAUGCCAGUGUUGGGAGUGCUUGCUUGUUCAGCUCUGUGUGUGUGUGUGUGUGUGUGUGUGUGUGUGUGUGUGUGUGUGUGUGUGUGUGUGUGUGUAUGUGUAGAGAUCAGAGGAUGACUUGAGGAGCUAUUCCUUUCCUUCACCAUGUACAAGACCCUGGGGACACUAAGGUCAUUAAGUGUUGCCAGGGGCAGGCCUUUACCCACUGAGCCUUUAUUUCUUUUAACUUAAAAAAAGAUGUAUUUACUUUCAUUUUAUGUAUAUGAGUGUUUUGCAUGUAUGCAUGUAUUACCCACACACAUGCCUGGUGCCCACGGAAGCCAGCAGAGGGUACCCAAUCCUCAAGAACUUGAGUUACAGAUGAUUGUGAACUGAGCAAAACCUGGGUCCUCUGCAAGAUUAGCUAGCACUCUUAAAUGCUAAUCCAUCUCUCUAGCCCACUCCUUCUUUUAAAUCAGUGUAUCUGUAGAUCUCUGUGUGGGUAUGUGCACAUGCAUGCAGUACCGUUGGAGGCCAGGAGAGGGCAUCAGACCCCUUGGAGCUGGAGUUAUCAGUGGUUGUAAGCCUGUAAGCCACCCAGUAUGGGUGCUGGGAAUCUCAGGUCCUCUGUAAGAGCAAUAUGUGCUCUUAACCAGCGAACCAUCUCUCCAGUCCCUUAUUUUUAUUUUUAAUGAAAUAACUAAAUAAUGUGUAUCACCUUCAUGCUCUGUCUCCAAACUUAAGAGACAAUUCCCACCAUGAAUGUGUACUCUCUCAAGUACUAUUGUUUGGUAUUUGGGAUAGGAUCUUACAUACCCCAUGCUGGCCUAAAAUUCACUAUCUAGCCAUACAAGACCUUGAACUAUUGAUCCUCCUGUUUCUGUCUCCCAAGUGCUGUGAUUUUAGAUACAUACAUAUCACCACGCGAAUUUAUCAUGAACAGAAAUGUAUUUAUGUGUUGUGGUUUCAGAGGCUGAGGCAUAUGCUGGGUGGAAAGAGCACAGUGACAGUAGCUUUGACAGCAGAUUCCCAUGAAGACAGUCAAACUCUUCAUGAGCCUUCUGUGGCCUCUCGUGCCUGUGGUGUUGGGGGUCAGAUUUCUCAGACAUCCAUGGGGGACACGUGUAGAUCACAGCAUCUCUCUAGAUAAUAUUCUACCACAUGUCCUGUACCAUGCCUUCCUUUCAAAUUCAAAUGUCGGGCUUAAUGAGUAACCACAAAGUCAGUUCUCAAGUGGCCACCAUUCCCACUGAGGAAGAUAAUACCCCCAGACUGAUAGGCACAUCACAGGCUCCAAGUCUUUGUAGAUGCCAACACUCACAGUCAGGGGAAGAAAGGCCAGACUCCCAACACUCUGGAGACUGAGGCAGGAGGAUUGUGAGUUUGAGGCUACCUUGAAAGACCCUGUCUUUAAAACAAAACAAAACAAAACAAAACAAUUUUUUAAUUCUUUUGAUUUUUGAGACGGGUUCUGUGCAGCUUGGCAGUUUUAAAGUCUUAAAGCAUCAUUCCCUGCAGUGCUAGAGUUCAGCCAGGGAACCAGUGGGUGGAAUUUACUCAACUUCUCAUCCUGUGUUAUUUUAAUGUCACUUUAUUGUCCUGGCACUGACCCACGAGGUUUCGGGGGCCAGCCUGAGUUUUAACUCAGGGUGUCCCAGGGAUCUAGCAGAGCACCUGACACGAGGGUUCUAACCAUUGGGACACCCAGCAGUGGGUGGUCCAGCAGUGUAGAUUCCACUCCACAGCCUUGGACGUGACCCAUAGGCCUCUGCGCAAGGCAGCCUCCUCUGCCUUCCCAGCCCUACACAUGGGAUAGCCUGGCAGGGCCCUGGUACUGGAGAUGGUUUUAAGCCACAAUGUGGGAGCUGGAAUUCAAACCUAGGUCUUCUGGAAGAGCAGACAGUGCUGUUAACAACUGACCCAUCAUCUCUCUAGUCCCUAAAGGCUUUUUACAUUGUGUGUGUGUGCACUCGCACACCAUGGCAACCAUGUGAGGAUCCGAAGAUAAUUUUCGGGAGUUGGUUCUCCCUUUCCAUGUGGACUGCGGGUAUCAAACUGAAGUCAGCAGGUUUGGCAGUCAGUGCCCUUACCUGCUGAGCCAAAUCAUCAGCCAGCCAGCCAGCCAGCCAGCCAGCCAGCCAUAAAUAAAUAAAUAAAUAAAUAAAUAAAUAAAUAAAUAAAUAAAUAAGCAAGCAAGCUUUUGCUGAGUGUAGUGGCUUACACCUUUGGUAAUUCUAGCACUCGGAGGGCUGAGGCAGGAGAGGGUUUAUGAGUUCAGAGCCUGCCUGGGCUACAGACUAAGAUUCUGUCUCUAGAGCUGGGUGUAGUAGUGCAUGAAUUAAUCUCAGGACUCAGGAGAGGCCAGUCUGGCCUACAUAACGAGUUACAGGAUAGCCCAGAAUACAUAGUAAAACCCUGUCUCAAAACAUUACUUCUGUCUCUAGAUAAGCAAACAGGUGUGGAGAUGGCUCGUGGGUAAGUGCUUAUGCAUGAGGACAGAGCCUCUGGUCCCACGUCAAUACCAGGUGGCUAUGGUGGCUUGCCUGCCGUUCCAGCCUUGGAAGGAGGAAACUGUUGGGCAAACUGAUAAGGACUCAUCAUAUAGUGGGGCUCUGGGUUUAAUUGAGACAGGAUAAUACACAACAUCAACCUUGGGCCUCUACACGCAUGUGCACAUAUGUGUACACUCCCCACACAUAUGCAAACACACAUGUGCUCAUAAAUAGUAGAAAAAGAAAGUUAGGGCUGGAGAGAUGGCUCAGCGGUUAAGAGCACUGACUGCUCUUCCUGAGGUCCUGAGUUCAAAUCCCAGCAACCACAUGGUGGCUCAGAACCAUCCGUAAUGAGAUCCGGUGCCCUCUUCUGGUGUGUCUGAAGACAGUGACAGUGUACUUAUAUAUAAUAAAUAAACCUUUAAAAAGAAAUAAAGUUAGCUUUCAACUUUGCCCUACCUAAUCACAUCCAGGAUGCUUAUAAGUAAAAAGUAACAGAACAUACCAAACCCUGGAGAAACAGGAAAAACUUUAACCCUUGGGCAUGGAUGUUGAAAUGUUUGCCUUUGUUCGUUUGUUCAUUUUUAUUUUGAGACAGUCUCAUACUGUAGUCCAGGCUGGCCUUGAACUUGAGACAAUCCCCUUGCAUCAACUUAUUGAUUGCUGAGAUAAUCAAUAGGUGUGACACACCCCAGCCUGCUGGGAACGUAAACUGGUGGGGCUGCUGUGGAAAACAGUUGAGUAGUUAAGAGAGUCGCCCUGUGACCCCAUCAACCCAAGAGAACGGUAAACAGACAUCUGUACAAACCCGCAAAUGUUCACAGCAGUACUAUUCACAAUAGUCAAAGGGUAUCGACAACCAGAUGUCCAUCAGUGGGAGAAUAGACACACAGAAUGUGGUCAGUCUAUACAAUGGACUAUUAUUCAGCCAUAACAAGGAGUAAAGUUCUGACAGACGCUGCAAUAUGGAGGAACAUUGGGAACACGAUGCUGAGUGAGAAGCCAGUCACACAAGGACCCUUUUUAGAUGAUUUGUGCAAAAUGUCCACAUCCUGCAGCGUGAGAUCAAGUAGAUUAGUGGCAGCAGGGGCUGGGAGAGGAGGGAACGUGGGAUUCAUGGGCACAGAGUUUUCUUCUGGGUGGUGAAAAUGUCCUGGAAUUACACCUUGGUGACACCAGCCAUCGCUGUGAUGAGUUUUAUACGUUGUGUCUUUUGCUGCAACUGAAAAACAUCACUGAAUGCAUCUUAGCACACAGGUUUGAGCCCUGGAACAGAAAGACAUUGGUGGAAAAGUUGGUGAAGCACAAAAACGCUUAGAAUUUUAGUGACUGAGUAUGUGUUGGUCCCACAGGGAGAGGUGAACCUGUGAUUUGAGGUGUUUGUGUGAGAGGACUGUGAAGGCUGUUAAGGAUUUUGUGAGCUUAAACUCUGUCCAAAGUAACCACUCAUUUCUGAAUUCAUUGCUGUCCUCUAAAGCGGCACUAGCUCAGUCUCCAGAAGGUUCUUCCCCAGGCAAAGGACUCAGUCACAGGCUUGGGCUUGUAAACUGAGCCAAGAAGCUUGGAGCUGACCAAGAAGAGGAAGAUCUGAGGUCCAUACCCUGAGAGAGACAACACUGGGAGAGGGUCGGGGGUGCCUGCCCGCACCAGGGCCCCAUGUCAGCCACUCACACCUUGAUCUAGAAGCUGCGGGGACUUGGAAGAGCAGGAAGGCCUAACACUGAGCCUGCAGUCCCUGAGUUCUGGCCAAAGAGUCCUCCAGGUGGGGUUCAUCUCGCCUGCUGAUGGGAGGCAGCUGGGGCCGGUCUGUGGAGACAUGGCUGACCAGUAUCCUCAGGAGGAAGUUCUGCUUGGGGGUGGGGGAGGGGGCUUCCUCGUUCGUUCUCUUCAGUCUCUUCCUUCAGGCUAGCCAGAACCAAAGCAUGCUUUUCCUGGUACUCAGGGUUUCCUUACUCUUUUUCUGAAGUGGCUGCUCUCCAAAAUGCUGGCUUGUCUUCCCCAUUAUCCUUCUCCCAGCAGCUGUAAGAUUUACAACUUGCUUGCCCUGAGCUUUUCUUUUCAACUCUAAUACAUUGUCUUCCAUUGGGGUGGGGGGUGAGAGGGGGAGGAGAAGCAGAAGCAGAAGCAGCUGGUUUUCACUCAGGGUUGGUAUUUCCAUCUUAAUCUGGAAACAUCUGAAGGCCUACCAUGAACUUUUAGUCCUCCAUUCUACAAACCAGAUGAGUCCGGAGGUUAACCUGACCGAGGGUGCAGCUUUCCCUUUGUGGUGAGCUGAAUGGAUACCCCCAAAAGAUAUCCAUGCCAAGACCUGGAACCUGUGACUGGACCCUAAUUGAAAGGAAGGUCUUUGAAGACAUGACUAAGUCAAGGCUCUCAAGGUUUCCACAGUAAACCUGGUGUGAUGCUGAUAACAAUACAGCAGAGCAAGUAGCGACCACAGGCGAGAGCCACAGUGUGAUCGAUCGCAGAGAGCCUCCUGAGUCCUAGGCAGUUACUUCCUAUGAUACGAGGCUAUAGCUACCCCAUCAAGCUGGCUAAAAGAAAAGCUAAGAUUACAAAAUACCUACAUCUGAGAAGGCAGCCCAGAGAGUACCAGUAAGAAUAAACAGGGGACGUGGCCAGUCUGGUUCUUUAAACAAUAGGUAAACCUUGUUGCUUCAAAUGCUUUUUUCUUCAUUGUUAACCUCACUCACUGCAUUAAACCAAUGGCAUUCUUGAUUUUUUUUUGCCUUAAA